GCUUUUUGCCUGCCAGUCUGAAAGGAAAGAACAACGUGAUGUUUUCCCUUCUUCUCUCAACCAGGCACCACAGAUAGAGACGUAAGAGGGUUGACUUUGAUAAGAAUUUUUACCGUUUGCUGGCGUCUGUCAGUCUCCCCAGAAUUCUGCAGGCUCUGGAGCCAGUGGGGUGUGCCAGUGGGUCUCAUUCUGGUCAUGAGAAAUAGAAGAGGAGGAAAAAUUUUUUUCCUCUACGCUUUACCGUGAGCGCUCAGGUUGUUAACACAGGCUAUUCCAUAACCAUAAUUGACGUUUUCAAACUGGUGCUGGAGAAGACUCGAGAGUUCCUUGGACAGCAAGGAUAUCAAACCCCAUUGGAAGGAUUGAUGCUGAAGCUGAAGCUCCAAUACUUUGGCCACCUCAUUAGAAGAGCUGACUCAUUGGAAAAGAUCCCGAUGCUGGGAAAGACUGAAGGCAGGAGGAGAAGGGGAUGACAGAGGAUGAGAUGGUUGGAUGGCAUUGUUGAUUCAAUGGACAUCUACUCAGAAAUUAAAGCUAUUUCUAGUUUUCUAAAGCAUCACUGAUGAUGUGGCUAGCAGUUACUUCCAGUGUCAAAUAUCAGUGAUAUCAGAGACCAACAGUAGAGUCUCUGCUGAGAGAUGUCAGCAGUAGUGUUUGAGCAAACUCUUGGAGAUAGUGAAGGAGAGGGAAGCCUGGCAUGCUGCGGUCCAUGGGGUUCCAAAGAGUUGACAUGACUUAGCAACUGAGCAACAGUAGU
rnacentral:lncRNA from 1 species